rnacentral:lncRNA from 1 species
ACCAGAAUCUAUGUCUACUGAUUUCUAGGAGGAUGCCCAAGAAAUAUUGGUGAGGGAAUAAAAAUCAAGUAGGCUAGUGGUAUAGCAGGGCCCUGUUUUGUAUAGUCCAGUGGCACUGGAACCCCCCACCUCCCGCCCACUUCUGUGUUUCUGUAUGUGCAGCCAACAGGCGCAAUGUGUGUCUGGCUGCUGACCCCGGGGAGUUUGCAAGGGUGAGUUCGGAGGAGAGGUAGUAACUUUCCUCACAUACCUUUGCAUCGUUCCCACACUUAAAAUGAGGAUUUAGCUUAAAAAAACAAACUUUAAUUUAUAAUGCCAUAAGUGAGUAAAUGGCAAUUAUUUUUCAUGUAAAACGUUGUCUUAACUAUCCUGACAUCAAAUCUGACAAACUGAUAUAUGCUUGGGGGAUAUGCCCAGUAAGUAAACGUGUUUAUUGUUUGGGUAGAUGAAGAUGUUGUUGCCUUUUUUGAAAACUGACUACAUCAUGAAGAUCUUGAAAAGUCAAUAAGGUAAAUACCCCGUUAGCAAAAUGGGCAAAUGACAGUUCAAACAUUACAAAUGGACCAUUAACCUAAAAAUACUAAUCUCGUGCAAUCUUGUUGAUAACCAAAUAGAUGCCAGUUAAAAUGAGGAAGCAGCCUGCCAUGGGAUGGAAGCAGGAAGAGGGUAGGGAAGGGUGAGAGAUCCUGAGACAGAGGAUGCAGGGGGUUGUAAAGUGCGCUGCGUCUGCCCAGCGGGAGGCACGAAGAAGCUGGACCCCAUCCUGGGGGCCAAAGUGAAGUGAACACCAGCCCAUUGUCCUGAACUCCACGGUCUCUGUCCAAAUACAGUGACCCGUCAAAGUUAAUGUACAAUCUCCACUUGCGACAUAACAGAAGGAAAGGUCAGUGUGGUGAGAGUGCAGGAGAGGCUGGGAGCUGAUGGUGCAGAUGCCAACAGUGGCUGGCGUUCUGAGUGCCAGCUCCACAGCCCACACAGGGGAGUGACAUGGCUCUGUUGGGUCUGCCCACCCUCCUGGUGGCUUGUGCGGCUUUCCUGAUGUUCGACUCUGUGGAGAAGACGAGGCACUCACAGGCUUAUGCUCCCACCUGGCCCUCGUCCCCUUCCCAUCAUUGGGAAUAUGCUGCAGGUGAAACUGUGGGACAUGCCACCUCUCUAUCCAGGAUAUGGGUAGCUGGCGUGAGCUCACCUGCUCUUAUGCAGGUGUUUUUUGGCAAGCCUGUGGUGAAGUUGGUGGGACUGACGUCUGAUCUGUGCGGCCGGAGGACUUGCGUCCAGCCAUGGCAAAGCGGUGGAAGCAAAUGUGUCGUUUUCCUCUCAUGA